UACGGAGGGAGCUAGCGUUAUUCGGAAUUACUGGGCGUAAAGCGCACGUAGGCGGCUUUGUAAGUAAGAGGUGAAAGCCCAGAGCUCAACUCUGGAAUUGCCUUUUAGACUGCAUCGCUUGAAUCAUGGAGAGGUCAGUGGAAUUCCGAGUGUAGAGGUGAAAUUCGUAGAUAUUCGGAAGAACACCAGUGGCGAAGGCGGCUGACUGGACAUGUAUUGACGCUGAGGUGCGAAAGCAUGGGGAGCGAACAGG
rnacentral:rRNA from 1 species